AACGAACGCUGGCGGCAUGCCUAACACAUGCAAGUCGAACGAGACCUUCGGGUCUAGUGGCGUACGGGUGCGUAACGCGUGGGAACCUGCCCUUAGGUUCGGCAUAACUCCCCGAAAGGGGUGCUAAUACCGGAUAAUGUCUUCGGACCAAAGAUUUAUCGCCUUUGGAUGGGCCCGCGUUGGAUUAGCUAGUUGGUAGGGUAAAAGCCUACCAAGGCGACGAUCCAUAGCUGGUCUGAGAGGAUGAUCAGCCACACUGGGACUGAGACACGGCCCAGACUCCUACGGGAGGCAGCAGUGGGGAAUAUUGGACAAUGGGCGAAAGCCUGAUCCAGCAAUGCCGCGUGAGUGAUGAAGGCCUUAGGGUUGUAAAGCUCUUUUACCCGGGAUGAUAAUGACAGUACCGGGAGAAUAAGCUCCGGCUAACUCCGUG
rnacentral:rRNA from 1 species